GUCCUCCAGAGUCAUAUGUCUCUUGUGUUCUGACAGUGUGGCCAGUCCCUCGGAGUGACUUCUGAACCCAGAUCGUUCCAUCAGAGCCCCAAAAGCCUCAGGGCCCCGUUCUGGUAUGAGGUGGCAGAACAGUGGGGAGAACCCUGGGGAGAACUGUGAAGGGGAACAUCUCAGGUUCUUCUGGCUCUUCUUCUCAGCGGAAAGUACCUCGGAGGUGGAUCGAAACCAGCCUCCACUGAAAAGCACUUGACACAGCUUUGUGUAGGGAAACCAGAGCUGUCAAGACAUGCUGAGCAAAGUCUAGUCCUCACUCAAGACCAUCCUGAGGUGUGGCACUCUGGGUGUGUGCAUGUCAUAAUUUGUGACUCACAUUUGUGUUCUGUGUGUUGUUUAUUAACUAUGAUCCUCCUGUGAGUGAGCGGUGACAGGCCUUAUGAAUAUGGAUAUUGCUUAUAUAUUUUGAUAGUGACUUUAAAUUGCAUGUAAGAGUGUGGGUGUGUGUGGUUGUCAGCCAUGUGACAGACUGUCGACCUGUCCAGGAUAAGCGGUACUGUAUAAAUAAUGGAUGGAUAUAUUUUGAUGUUUGUCUGCAUCUUAAUCCUCAGCUUAACUGAUUGAUACAAAGUCAAUACAAGAUUAAUAAGCACACAAAGUAUCAAACAUUCCCUCUUUAUUAUUUUCCGUAUCGUUCUCUCCUUCAGUUUUCUGUUCCACUGUCCCUCUUUCUGCCUCUAAACAUAAACAUGGUCACUACAUUGUAAAAAUUUGUCUGGAAAUGUAACCUCAGCAAAAAAGAAACUGUUUAUUGUAUAAAAAUACUAACUAUCAAAAAUACUCGAUUCAUACUACAGCAGGAAAACAGAUGGGUUGUUUCCAAAAUGUAUCAGUGUCAUUAAAACCUUAUAGAAUAAUAUAUAUACCAUACAGUGAUUAAUGAUUUUUUUUAAAUCUGGCAUUGCGAACAAAUUAAUGCCUGAAGGGAAACAUGCAGGUAGAGUUCCUUCAAGUGUGAACCUGCCUGAAUCGGUCCUUAUCUUCACUUAAAACUCCUACAAAAUAAUACAGCUAUAGUAGCUGAAACACUAAGUUAGAUGAUUAAAACAUUCAUUUGUGGACUAGUACUGAUCCAAGAUCAAUAAUCACAUUUUUUUUUGUUCAUUCAACACUCAGAAACGUUGUUUUCCCAAAACUGUUUCAUGCAAUAUAAGAAAAUAAUUCUGUCUUGUUUGGUCUAAAUAGAAAAUUGACUGAUGACUGACUGACAGCAGUAAAACCAGACUGACUGGUCCCACAGGACAUUUAUGGAUCCAAUAACAGAACAGUGAAGAAGCUAAGGCACAUCAUGGUUUCAGUGUCUUAUCAAACCAGCAGAUGGUUAACCAAAGGAGCAUUAUCAGAAGGCUUGUAGAAAAUACAUGAUUGGUCAUCUGUUUGAGACUGAAAAACAUCUUUUAAUCUUCCACUCUCUAAAGGUACCUUCUUUGAGGCAACAAGACUUGGAAUACACAGAAUUAUAUUGCUCCCUUUAAACCAAAAAUCUGACAUAUCAUUAUUACACAUGGCAGUUUGGACUGUUUGGAAGAUUGUUGCUAUAUUCUAAUUAUUUAUCACACUUAGUGAAAAUUCAUCUAAAUUUAUUUCCAGUUCACAGUGACAGAGAAGCAACAACUGCAGCUAAAUCAGAAAAAUAAAGCAGCUCUAUUUUUAACCUCCCCUGUAUCGUAUUAACUAUCACACUGCUGUGUCAAAUCAUGAAGUGUUAUUAGUAGUGUUCAAAACAGAUACAGACAGCACAGCAAACGCCCCAAGUUAAACCCAUUUAGUAAAAAGUAAAAAAUAUCAAAAUUCUGGAGACAAACAGCAGAGAAUCAGCAUCAAA